rnacentral:misc_RNA from 1 species
GCCGUCGGGUGCCGAUGCCCCGAAGCGGUUGGUUACGAGGAAUUUGCUCACUGGAGAAUAUGAUUGGUGGAAGGUCGGCGUCGGCGACAAUGCCGAACUGUGGAGAGAGAUCAUGAAGGAUUAUGUGCCCUUCAGUUAUAAGCGCGAUUAUGGUGAGCCACCACCACAAGAUUUGUUGCUGGUGGCCGAAGAGUUAGGAGACAUGUGUGUAA